AUUGAACGCUGGCGGCAGGCCUAACACAUGCAAGUCGAACGAGUGGCGGACGGGUUAGUAAUGUCUGGGAAACUGCCUGAUGGAGGGGGAUAACUACUGGAAACGGUAGCUAAUACCGCAUACCAUCAGAUGUGCCCAGAUGGGAUUAGCUUGUAGGUGGGGUAACGGCUCACCAAGGCGACGAACCCUAGCUUGUAUGAGAGGAUGACCAGCCACCCUGGAACUUGGACCCGGUCCAGACUCCUACGGGAGGCAGCAGUGGGGAAUAUUGCACAAUGGGCGCAAGCCUGAUGCAGCCAGGCCGCGUGUAUGAAGAAGGCCUUCGGGUUGUAAAGUACUUGCAGCGGGGAUGCGUUACCCGCAGAAGAAGCACCGGCUAACUCCGUGCCAGCAGCCGAGGUAAUUC
rnacentral:rRNA from 1 species